rnacentral:rRNA from 1 species
UACGAAGGGGGCGAGCGUUGUUCGGAUUUACUGGGCGUACAGGGAGCGUAGGCGGUUGGGUAAGCCCUCCGUGAAAUCUCCGGGCCUAACCCGGAAAGUGCGGAGGGGACUGCUCGGCUAGAGGAUGGGAGAGGAGCACGGAAUUCCUGGUGUAGCGGUGAAAUGCGCAGAUAUCAGGAAGAACACCCGUGGCUAAGGCGGCUCUCUAGUACGGUACUGACGCUGAGACGCGAAAGCGUGGGGAGCGAACAGG